rnacentral:lncRNA from 1 species
CUACAUAUAUCAUUGUUCAAGAAAGCAAAGAUUACAUUUUUACAGAUUUUAUAAUAAACAAAUUGAGAGUAAUAGGGAGAAAAGAUACGGGGACUUAUGGUUUCACUGAGGGUAUGACCUUUGAUAGAUAAGAAUUAUGGUUUCACUGAAGGUAUGGCCUUUGAUAGAUAAGAAUGAUGAACUGAGAUUCGUAUAGCCGAUUUCAAAUAAUUGGAAAAAAACUUUUGAUGAUGAUAACAAGGAG